UACAGAGGUGGCAAGCGUUGUUCGGAAUUACUGGGCGUAAAGGGCGCGUAGGCGGUUCGUUAAGUCCUGUGUGAAAUCCCCCGGCUCAACUGGGGAACUGCACAGGAAACUAGCGGGCUUGAGUUCGGGAGAGGGAAGCGGAAUUCCGGGUGUAGCGGUGGAAAUGCGUAGAUAUCCGGAGGAACACCGGUGGCGAAGGCGGCUUCCUGGACCGACCACUGACGCUGAGGAGCGAAAGCGCUAGGGGAGCGAAACGGGAUUCGAGAACCGUACCGGUACGUCAGGAUCCAAGACCAGUCUGCUGA
rnacentral:rRNA from 1 species